rnacentral:rRNA from 1 species
AUUGAACGCUGGCGGCAUGCCUUACACAUGCAAGUCGAACGGCAGCACGGGAGCAAUCCUGGUGGCGAGUGGCGAACGGGUGAGUAAUAUAUCGGAACGUGCCCAGUCGUGGGGGAUAACGUAGCGAAAGCUACGCUAAUACCGCAUACGAUCUACGGAUGAAAGCGGGGGAUCGCAAGACCUCGCGCGAUUGGAGCGGCCGAUAUCAGAUUAGGUAGUUGGUGAGGUAAAGGCUCACCAAGCCGACGAUCUGUAGCUGGUCUGAGAGGACGACCAGCCACACUGGGACUGAGACGCGGCCCAGACUCCUACGGGAGGCAGCAGUGGGGAAUUUUGGACAAUGGGCGAAAGCCUGAUCCAGCAAUGCCGCGUGCAGGAAGAAGGCCUGG